rnacentral:hammerhead_ribozyme from 1 species
AUCCAGCUGAUGAGUCUAAAAUAGGACGAAACGCGCGUCAAACUGGAU